ensembl:snRNA U6 U6 spliceosomal RNA
GUGCUCACUUCAGCAGCACAAACUCUAAGAUUGGAACAAUACAGAGAUUAGUAUGGCCCCGUCGCAAGGAUGACACACAAUUUUGUGAAGUGCUCCAUAUUUUG